rnacentral:rRNA from 1 species
GAUGAACGCUAGCGGCAGGCCUAACACAUGCCAGUCGAGGGGUAGAACACUUCGGUGUUUGAGACCGGCGCACGGGUGCGUAACGCGUAUGCAAUCUGCCUUACACUAAGGGAUAGCCCAGAGAAAUUUGGAUUAAUACCUUAUAGUAUAUUGAUGUAGCAUCACAUUAUUCUUAAAGAUUUAUUGGUGUAAGAUGAGCAUGCGUCCCGUUAGCUAGUUGGUAUGGUAACGGCGUACCAAGGCAAUUAUGGGUAGGGGUGCUGAGAGGGAGAUACGCCACACUGGUCCUGGGAUAGUGACCAUAGGCCUACGGGAGGCAGCAGUGAUGAAUAUUGGUCUAUGGUCGCAAGACUGAACCAGCCAUGCCGCGUGCAGGAUGAAGCAUCUAUGUUGUGUAAGCUGCUUUUGUACGGGAAGACACACGUCUUCGUGAAGAGGCUUGCCGGUACCGUAAGAAUAAGGAUCGGCUAACUCCGUGCCAGCCGCCGCCGUAA